rnacentral:rRNA from 1 species
UGCGUAGGUGGCGCCAUAAGUCAGGUGUGAAAUCUCGGGGCUUAACUCCGAAACUGCAUUUGAUACUGUGGUGCUUGAGGACUGGAGAGGAGACUGGAAUUCACGGUGUAGCAGUGAAAUGCGUAGAUAUCGUGAGGAAGACCAGUGGCGAAGGCGGGUCUCUGGACAGUUCCUGACACUGAGGCACGAAGGCCAGGGAGCAAACG